rnacentral:rRNA from 1 species
UACGUAGGGGGCAAGCGUUAUCCGGAUUUACUGGGUGUAAAGGGAGCGUAGACGGAUGGAUAAGUCUGAAGUGAAAGCCCGCGGCUCAACUGCGGGACUGCUUUGGAAACUGUGCAUCUUGAGUACGGGAGGGGCAGGCGGAAUUCCUGGUGUAGCGGUGAAAUGCGUAGAUAUCAGGAGGAACACCAGUGGCGAAGGCGGCCUGCUGGACAGUAACUGACGUUGAGGCUCGAAAGCGUGGGGAGCAAACAGG